rnacentral:rRNA from 1 species
GACGAAGGAUGCAAGCGUUAUCCGGAUUCAUUGGGUUUAAAGGGCGCGUAGGUGGCGACCCAAGUCGAUGGUGAAAGCUCGCCGCUCAACGGCGAGUCGGCCACCGAUACUGGGUUGCUGGAGCACUGUAGAGGCUCAUGGAAUUCCGGGUGUAGCGGUGGAAUGCGUAGAGAUCCGGAAGAACACCGGUGGCGAAGGCGGUGAGCUGGGCAGUUGCUGACACUGAGGCGCGACAGCGUGGGGAGCAAACAGG